UUUAUUAUAUAGUUAAAAUACAGAGAACAAACCAUUGCUAAUUUUUAUCAAACUACAUGAAUUUUUUUCUGUUGCAAUUCACAAUUAGAAUUAUGUGUGUGUCAAUGUGUAUUUUAUACUUGAAGGUAAUGUUGUAAAUCUUGAAGUCUUUUAUUAAGUUUCAAUGGUUAAAAAAACAAGAUUUGGUUUACCGACUGUUGCAAUAUGUUCAGUGCCCAAUAACUUGAGAUAAAAAAUACUGUACAAAAAAUGUUUAUUCAAAAAGCUUUUUCCUUUUAAUAUUCUAAUUGUCCAGUGUUUUCUCAGUAGCAAUUUGAAUUCAUCUCUUCAAAUGAGGUAAAAAAGGUUGAUACUAGCUAUAGUCUAUGAAGAAAGUGCAGUGCAAUAAAUUUAUGUACACCAUCCAAUUCAAGUCAUUGGCGUAGGUUUCAUCAAGAAGUACAUUUACAUGUAGGUGUAAUUUGAACACCUAGUUAUAAAGAAAAGUAGUUUCAAUAAAAAUGUUGACACAGAGAUAGGUCUUGAUUUUAAGUUAUUUUGAUAGUACUAUAAUAUAAUGUAUAAUGCAUAUAGGUUAAAAUGUGCAUUUAAAAAAAAACCAUGUCAAAUAUGUAAAACGUUAAAAGUCAAAGACCCAUGACUGAAGAUACAGGGCUAAAUUACCUCUGUGAAAAAAAGAAAAAUGCCAAUGCUAAUGCAACUGCAAUCCAAAUAAGAUUGGCUUAACACUAAUGGUACCACUUAUACGAGGGUAGUAAUGCCCUUUAACGUCAGGUGUCAAACAGUUAUUUCGGCUACCGUUAGCGUCAAAUUGGUAAUUUUUUUACCAUGAUUUGUCAAAAUAUCCAUAUUGUGAUUCGCCAGUGUACAUUUUAUUUUUAUAAAAUUACCAUUAACAUCAUUUGGCAAGAACCUUUUCCGUUAUUCGUCAAAAAGGUACCCCCAUUAUGACCCUCUUAUACUAUAUAUCACGAACAAAUAACUCCCAAGUUUCAAAAUAGUAUGUCUUGUAUAUCAGCUUCCAUCAUAAUGACACUAAAUAAGUAAUUAAAUUGUUUUAAUCAUUGUAUAAAGGAAAAAAGAUAUAAAUACAUGUAGCUGAUGAAGCUGAAACAAAGCGACUGAGCAGUGUGAUAUUGGUGAAGGGAGUGACAAUAGAAAAUGUAUAACAAGUACAGAAAACAAAGAAAUAAAUCAUUGUAUAAUAAAACAAUUCAAGAGCUAAUUUCUUAUAAUAUGUCAUAAUGAUGGAAGUCUUAAUAUACAAGUCAAAAUUUUUAAACUUGUGUUCAUGAUAAAGUAUGUGUGAACCAGUUACAAGACACAUACAAUCAAUCACUGGAUGGUAAGAACAUUUUAACUGUACUUGCUUCAUGCUAACAAAUACUAGCAAGUACUAGCAAUGGGCAAAACCAUUUAAACACUUAAUAACAAGUUUGAAGAGAUGAAUCCAUACUACACAUUUUUAGCAAAUUGCUAUUAUGUAAGGACAAAGCUUUUUGAAUAUGCACUGCAUUAAAGUAAUAAUUUAGUUCUAUAUUUUCCCCUUGAAAGACUUUUGAUAGUGCUUUGUACCUGUAAAAACAUAAUGUAUAAACCUGAUCUUAUAAUUUUACACACUUUAAAAAAAUCAUGUUUAAAUGGGAUCAUUAAAAAGAAUAUUUCUUGGUUGAUUUGGUUCUGAUUUAUUUGCUUGUUUGGUUUCCCUUGAUUUAUUCAUAUUCCUUCUAUCACAAAGUUAAAAUUUCUUCACUUUCAUGACUUCUGAGUUCAUCUGUGUAUCUACAAAAAGAGAAAAGGAACUAUGAAUUAUUGAGCAUUAGUAAA
rnacentral:lncRNA from 1 species